CCUACGGGUGGCACCAGUGGGGAAUAUUGGACAAUGGGCGCAAGCCUGAUCCAGCCAUGCCGCGUGUGUGAAGAAGGCCUUUUGGUUGUAAAGCACUUUAAGCGAGGAGGAGGCUACUGGUACUAAUAUUACCAGCUAGUGGACGUUACUCGCAGAAUAAGCACCGGCUAACUCUGUGCCAGCAGCCGCGGUAAUACAGAGGGUGCGAGCGUUAAUCGGAAUUACUGGGCGUAAAGCGCUCGUAGGCGGUUUGUUAAGUCGGAUGUGAAAUCCCCGGGCUCAACCUGGGAAUUGCAUUCGAUACUGGCAAGCUAGAGUAUGGGAGAGGAAGGUAGAAUUCCAGGUUUAGCGGUGAAAUGCGUAGAGAUCUGGAGGAAUACCGAUGGCGAAGGCAGCCUUCUGGCCUAAUACUGACGCUGAGGUGCGAAAGCAUGGGGAGCAAACAGGAUUAGAUACCCCUGUAGUC
rnacentral:rRNA from 1 species